CAGUCGCCGCGGGAACACGAAGGGUGCAAGCGUUACUCGGAAUUACUGGGCGUAAAGCGUGUGUAGGUGGUUGUUUAAGUCUGUCGUGAAAGCCCUGGGCUCAACCUGGGAAUUGCGAUGGAUACUGGGCGACUAGAGUGCGGUAGAGGAUAGUGGAAUUUCCGGUGUAGCAGUGAAAUGCGUAGAGAUCGGAAGGAACAUCUGUGGCGAAGGCGACUAUCUGGGCCAACACUGACACUGAGACACGAAAGCGUGGGGAACAAACAGGAUUAGAUACCCCUGUAGUCCCUGUCUCUUAUAC
rnacentral:rRNA from 1 species